UUUUUCUUCAAUUGUGGAAACCCCGGGACGAGAAGUAGCAGGAUUGGUUCUCAUAAUUAUCACAUAAUUAAAAAAAGGAAUUUGUCAAGAAUUUUUUUUUUUUUGUUGAAUAAUGCCAAAUCAAAUAAAAUCCAAAAGUAAAAAGGAAACGAAUUAGUUAAUUCAAUAAGAGAGAAAAGGGGACUAGGACUUGAUUUCGUUGCCCAAACAAAUCCCAUUCAAUCGUUUACUCAUGGAAUGAGUCUGUUGGAAAGUUCAAUCAAUCUUUUUUUCAUAUACAUCUUGCCUUUUGUGGAGGAUCUGUGCCUACUCUACUUUCCUAUCUAG
rnacentral:rRNA from 1 species